rnacentral:rRNA from 1 species
AGUGAACGCUGGCGGUAGGCCUAACACAUGCAAGUCGAACGGCAGCACAGUAAGAGCUUGCUCUUACGGGUGGCGAGUGGCGGACGGGUGAGGAAUACAUCGGAAUCUACUUUUUCGUGGGGGAUAACGUAGGGAAACUUACGCUAAUACCGCAUACGACCUACGGGUGAAAGCAGGGGAUCUUCGGACCUUGCGCGAUUGAAUGAGCCGAUGUCGGAUUAGCUAGUUGGCGGGGUAAAGGCCCACCAAGGCGACGAUCCGUAGCUGGUCUGAGAGGAUGAUCAGCGACACUGGAAGGGAGACACGGUCCAGACUCCUACGGGAGGCAGCAGUGGGGAAGAUUGGACAAUGGGCGCAAGCCUGAUCCAGCCAUACCGCGUGGGUGAAGAAGGCCUUCGGGUUGUAAAGCCCUUUUGUUGGGAAAGAAAAGCAGCAGGUUAAUACCCCGCUGUUCUGACGGUACCCAAAGAAUAAGCACCGGCUAACUUCGUG